CCUCAGUGCCUCACUGCCUCGCUGGGAAAGACUCUUUCCAUAUAUCCAACCUAAAUAUCCCCUCUUUAAGCUCCACGUUAGAUACUGAAAGGCUGCUCUUGGGUCAAUUUGGAGCCUUCUCUUCUUCAGGCUGAACAGCCCCAGCUCUCAGUUUGUCUUCAUAGGAGAGGUGGAUCCAUUCUGUGGAUCACUUUUGUGGCCUUCCUCUGGAUGCACUCCAACAGGCCUGUUUCUCCUGCACUGAGGACUCCACAUCUGGACUCAGUGCUCCAGCACUUCAUGCAAUGGAAGGAUGAGCUCUGCGUGCACUUGUUUGAGGACUAGGAAAAAUUCACCAAAGGAAUAACACAUCACAAGAUGCUGCCGUUCUUCCUUCGCUCUGUGCACAGCGCGCAGUUCUGCGG